ensembl:lncRNA
GCUAGUAUAUAUGAUUUUCAAGAUUCAAGAGGUUUAUUGUCAUGUGCACAGAAACUAGGCAGUUACACUGUACAGUGAAAUUCUUAUUACUCUGCCAAGGAACAUGGCAGAAUUGUGACAAUCGGCGAAUGUUUGUCUGUUCACAACACUAUUCAAAUACGAAUUAACGGAUUUGGAUGGAAUUUUCAGGGAAGGUCAGAAAUGAUACAAGGACCAAGCGAUUAGAUUUUGGCAGUGAUGCUGCUUAUAGUCUGGAUCUUAAAUAUUUCAGCCGUUGGAAAUAAUACAAGGAAUGAGCAGCCUUGGCGGAGUACUGCGCUUUCAUAUUGUAUUCAGUACCAAUUUUUUUUUUUCAAAAAAAAAAAUGACAACAGAAAUGAAAAUAAAGCUAUUGUUACUGUCAAAAAGACUGUAUACCCCAAAACAAAAGAGACCAGCGUUUCAGACAUGCUAUAAACUUUAAUAGACAUAUUGAUAUUUCUGAAGAGAAACAAAGUUAUCCCUAGUUAUAUUUACAAUACAGGAAUAAAAACUGUCACAUACAGUACAAUGGUAAAAACAACAUAGAGAACUUAAAUAAUUAUUUUAUUUGUGUAACUACUUAAAUAAUGAAAAUGGUUAUUCUAUUCACACCACGCCGUCUCAGCAGCUACAAUGCAACUUUCACAUUAAGUGCUAAAAAAAAAUUAGAAUUUUCCAUUUUACAGCAUGAAUUCCGUUUUUGACUUAUGAAGACCAGGUAGAGCUGAUUUAUUUCAGCAAACUCGAGCGAAGUGGGAGAUGACCGGCAAAUACAUCAUUUACAGACACCGAACUUCAAUUAACUGUGAAACUUGUUUGCCGAAAUAAAAGUAGGGGAGAAAGUAAGAAUUACACCUGUUUACCGUCAAACUGCUCAACACAACAACUGAUGGCUCUGUCAUACUCAUUUUAUGGGAUUUAAAGUAGCUAAUGAUCAGAUGCAGAAGUCCUAAUAAGAUUAAUCAGUUGUUGAAAAAAGAAUUCAUAUAAAUAUAAUCUCUGUAUGAACUUAUUUCUGGCAUCUGAAAAGACGAACACACCGCUGUGGCUCCAGACGAUCUGUGUGUGACCGUUUUCUGACUGUGUAGGAGUCAGAUGCUCAUGAGAGGAUUUAAUCUUGACAUUUUUUUUCCCCUCAGGUUAAUCUUAAAUCUGCUCUUUGCGGAUAAGAUCUGCCUCUGACUGUGAGCUGCUUCCACAGUGACUCAGAGGCCCGAUGGGAUCUUUGAUCAUCUUACAACAGAGACACAUUUCUGACAGUGGUAAUAUAACCAUAUGUCAGGGGAAAGAGUUAGAUGGACUCCGCCAACUGCUCUGAAUUAUUCUAUGCAGGCAUAGACAUGCAUUACUUUUACACUGGGGAAAAAAAAGAAAAGAAAAAAAGUCCUCACGUGUCUUCCAUAAAAGCUGCAUAUGUAUAAGUACGACAUGAAAUGACAUGAACUGACAAGCUUAGUGUAAAACUGCUUUCUAUAAACACCAUAUUCUCCCAUAUAUUAUUACGCUUAAAAAAAUAAACCCUCCUCUAUGAUAACAAUAGUAAUGCUAUAGUUUUUUUUUGCAAUGCUAAGCAGUACUUAGGUAAGCUCUAUUGGAAAUAUACAUCACCGCGCUAUCUCUUCCCUUUGUAGUUUUGAAUUCGACUUUCAGUGUGACGCAACGAAAGGAGUCUGCCAAACCAUACCUGUGAUCGUGUGGUAUCCGAGUGUGUAACUUUUUCUCACUACGCUUUGAAUAAAUGUCGAGACUCGUUGUGAAUAAUCAAGUGAAGGAAACAAUAAAAAUGAAUACAGUGCAUGGGAAAACUCAGUUCAAAAACUCCCUUCAGAAUGCAUGAAACUGGCUGUGACGAAACACGAUGUUCUCACUCACUUGUCACUACUUUUGUUUAACAGUCCUCUGUUGUGUGUGGAUCCGAUCUGUACACUGAUAGCAAGCGAGUGUUGCAAAACAAACUAUACAUACUGUAUACUGUUAUCGCUUUGUAUGACAAUGUACCCACAAACUAAAUACAACAUCAUAAAUGAGACGACAUGGUUGUUCUUGUAUUAGUGCCUUUAGGAUAGUAGAGCACAAAGCACUGCAGGCUCUAUGUGACGCGUGACUCUGUUCCUUCAAAGUCUGUGUGUGAAGACAUUUACUUUGCCGUGUUUUUAAAGGACCAGGAGCACAAAUUGGAUCUUGAGCCGUGCCGUUCCUUACAAUUUUGAAUCCUUAAUGAACUCCUGAACUGUCUCCAGUGAAAUGCCUCAAACUAUG